UACGUAGGGUGCAAGCGUUAUCCGGAAUUAUUGGGCGUAAAGAGCUCGUAGGCGGUUUGUCGCGUCUGCCGUGAAAGUCCGGGGCUCAACUCCGGAUCUGCGGUGGGUACGGGCAGACUAGAGUGAUGUAGGGGAGGCUGGAAUUCCUGGUGUAGCGGUGAAAUGCGCAGAUAUCAGGAGGAACACCGAUGGCGAAGGCAGGUCUCUGGGCAUUAACUGACGCUGAGGAGCGAAAGCAUGGGGAGCGAACAGG
rnacentral:rRNA from 1 species